rnacentral:rRNA from 1 species
AUUGAACGCUGGCGGCAGGCCUAACACAUGCAAGUCGAACGAGUGGCGGACGGGUGAGUAAUGUCUGGGAAACUGCGUGGGGGAGGGGGAUAUAUUCUGAAAACGGUAGAUAAUACCACAUACCAUCGGAUGUGCCGAGAUGGGAUUAGCUUGUAGGUGGGGUAACGGCUCCCCUAGGCGAAGCUCCCUAGCUGGUCUGAGAGGAUGACCAGCCACACUGGAACUGAGACACGGUCCAGACUCCUACGGGAGGCAGCAGUGGGGAAUAUUGCACAAUGGGCGCAAGCCUGAUGCAGCCAUGCCGCGUGUAUGAAGAAGGCCUUCGGGUUGUAAAGUACUUUCAGCGGGGAGGCGUUACCCGCAGAAGAAGCACCGGCUAACUCCGUGCCAGCAGCCGCGGUAAUUC